rnacentral:rRNA from 1 species
UACGUAGGGGGCUAGCGUUGCUCGGAAUCACUGGGCGUAAAGCGCACGUAGGCGGACUCUUAAGUCGGUGGUGAAAUCUUGGAGCUCAACUCCAGAACUGCCUUCGAUACUGGGAGUCUUGAGUCCGGGAGAGGUGAGUGGAACUGCGAGUGUAGAGGUGAAAUUCGUAGAUAUUCGCAAGAACACCAGUGGCGAAGGCGGCUCACUGGCCCGGUACUGACGCUGAGGUGCGAAAGCGUGGGGAGCAAACAGGA